rnacentral:rRNA from 1 species
GACGAACGCUGGCGGCGUGCUUAACACAUGCAAGUCGAACGGAAGGCCCUGCUUUUGUGGGGUGCUCGAGUGGCGAACGGGUGAGUAACACGUGAGUAACCUGCCCUUGACUUUGGGAUAACUUCAGGAAACUGGGGCUAAUACCGGAUAGGAGCUCCUGCUGCAUGGUGGGGGAUGGAAAGUUUCGGCGGUUGGGGAUGGACUCGCGGCUUAUCAGCUUGUUGGUGGGGUAGUGGCUUACCAAGGCUUUGACGGGUAGCCGGCCUGAGAGGGGGAACGGCCACAAUGGUACUGAGAUAGGGACCAGACGGCUACGGGGGGCAGCAGGGGGGAAUAUUGCACAAUGAGCGGAAGCCUGAGGAGGCAGCGCCGCGUGCGGGAAGACGGCCUUCGGGGUGUAAACCGCUUUCGCCUGUGACGAAGCGUGAGUGACGGUAAUGGGUAAAGAAGCACCGGCUAACUACGUG